UACAGAGGGGGGCAAGCGUUGUUCGGAAUUACUGGGCGUAAAGGGCGCGUAGGCGCCUUCUAAGUCGAACGUGAAAUCCCCGGGCUCAACCCGGGAACUGCGUCCGAUACUGGAAGGCUUGAAUCCGGGAGAGGGAUGCGGAAUUCCAGGUGUAGCGGUGAAAUGCGUAGAUAUCUGGAGGAACACCGGUGGCGAAGGCGCAUCCUGGACCGGCAUUGAACGCUGAGGCGCGAA
rnacentral:rRNA from 1 species